CGAUAUUCAGAAUUGCUCGGCUCAUUAUGCUGUUCCACUCUUAUCAGUGGUAACCCAAUCUUAAGUGGAAUCAUCGCUCUGUCCUAUAAGCUAAAUUAGAUGGCAAUUCUUCCAUCGGUAUGCGAAGAGUUAUCGGAUAUGCUCAUGAGAUCGGAUAUAAUUCUUUCACCCAAAGAUCUUUAGCUUCAUUCAGCCUGGUCUUGAGACCAUGUAGGA
rnacentral:lncRNA from 1 species